UAGACAAUACACAGAGUUUAACUAAGGUCGGGAUACACCCUGCCAUAUAACUAACUUCUAUACAAUACCAAAAGUGACUGGAUAUGACAUGGAAAGCCCCGAAGCAAACUGGAGCUCACCAAAAGCAGCUGGAUAUCCUGGCUCCUACUUGUACGGUGUAUGAGCUGAGGUACCUGUGCCUGCAGCAUGAAAUGCAGGUCCCCCGUGGGGGACGUCAGUACGAAAUAUGUACUGAGUAUGUAAAGCUGUAGAUAAUCACAUAUGAUAUAGGAGCUCAAUAGAAAUCAGAAACAAGUGAAUAAAUCGUAAUAGGAGUGGACCACACUUACUAGAACUUGUGACAACAUGUACAUUGUAUUUAUUCAAUCACUUUACCUUCGUUCUUA
rnacentral:lncRNA from 1 species